AAGUAAACAGAAGCACGUGUGGGGGUCGUGACGUAGAUCUCCAAAAACAAGAAAAAGCCAUUUGGAAUUGUGUUCCGCAUUGUUUAACGACGCAGAGUCCCGCAAAGAUGAAACCAAAGGAACCAAAUCAGUGUCAAACGAGGGUACCAAUCGAGCAAUGUAAAUAAACAAGGUGAUAAUGUUAGGAGUGGAUGAAAAGUGUUGUAAUUGAGCGUAAUAAAGAAUAUGUGUUUUUCCGAA